GACCCCGUAGCUCAGUUGGAUAGAGCGAGUGCCUUCUAAGCACUAGGCCGCAGGUUCGAAUCCUGCCGGGGUCGCCA
rnacentral:tRNA from 1 species